rnacentral:rRNA from 1 species
UACGGGGGGGGCAAGCGUUGUUCGGAAUUACUGGGCGUAAAGGGCGUGUAGGCGGCCAACUAAGUCCGACGUGAAAUCCCCAGCCUUAACCUGGGAACUGCGUCGGAUACUGGAUGGCUUGAAUCCGGGAGAGGUGAGUGGAACUGCGAGUGUAGAGGUGAAAUUCGUAGAUAUUCGCAAGAACACCAGUGGCGAAGGCGGCUCACUGGCCCGGUACUGACGCUGAGGUGCGAAAGCGUGGGGAGCAAACAGG